AGAGUUUGAUUCUGGCUCAGGAUGAACGCUAGCGGCAGGCCUAAUACAUGCAAGUCGAACGGGAUUGCCUCCUUCGGGAGGCAUGAGAGUGGCGCACGGGUGCGCAACGCGUAUGCAACCAACCCCCGACAGGCGGAUAGCCGGUGGAAACGCCGGAUAAUACGCCAUGGUUCCGUGGGAGGGCAUCCUCCUGGGGAUAAAGCCGAGAGGCGGUCGGGGACGGGCAUGCGUCCCAUUAGAUGGUAGGCGGGGUGACGGCCCACCUAGUCCGCGAUGGGUAGGGGAUCUGAGAGGACGGUCCCCCACACUGGUACUGAGACACGGACCAGACUCCUGCGGGAGGCAGCAGUAAGGGAUAUUGGUCAAUGGGGGCAACCCUGAACCAGCCAUGCCGCGUGAGGGAAUGAGGCCCUACGGGUCGUGAACCUCUUUUAUUCGGGGACAAGGACGCGGUCGCGAACCGUGUUUGAGGGUACCGAAAGAAUAAGCAUCGGCUAACUCCGUGCCAGCAGCGGC
rnacentral:rRNA from 1 species